rnacentral:lncRNA from 1 species
GCAUUGAAUACCACAUGACUACUAUUUUUUUAUUUUAUAUAUAUUAUAUAUAGCUUUUCUUCUUAUUGGAUACUAAAUGACUAUUCAUCCUAAUAUACACUACAUGCUUGCCCAUAUUUCUGAUGAUAAUCAUAAUCAGAUUCAGGAUGGGGUUGAAUGGGCCAAGGUUUGGACAUCUAAAGAAAUCUGUAGGUAUGAGACCUGGAUUUAAAUAUGAAGAUAGAAAUACAGCAUGCUUUCAUUCUGACAUCUACUGGGACAUCCAGUCAAUUGGCUCCCAUUAUUGCAAAAUUAAUGAUGGUAGCGGUUGUAAGUGCAGAUUUUUUAUUGUAAAUAGUUACCAUUUUGAUUACAGAUUAUCUUAAUUAAGGUCAUCAUAAGUCUGGGUUUCCCUGUAUCUGUACUUGUUAUUAAAGUUGUAGAAAUAUAUAUUGUAUUAAAAAUUUAUUUAGAUAAUGUUAGC